AGGUAGGAGCAAGAAGCAGACAAAACUAAUCUUAGAUUUGUCUUUACUUAAAAAAGCAAACAAAAAAAAGCAGACAAGAACACUGAAAACAUUAAUGAGGGAUUGCAGUGAAGCCUUCUUUUCAUCUUGGCUGUAGCAUUUCGAAUUUUAAAUUUUCAAAUCAUAUUGCAGCAAAGCCAAGUGAAGUAAUAAAAUCUGAUAAUGACAAAACCUGAGAAAUUUCAGAACACAGUUAAGUAUUGCUUUGGAGUUUGGCUCUUGCUGCCUUUGCUUUACUAAAGACAAUGUCAGCAUUUUAUCUUUUUGUCAUCAACAGGAGGAAGUUAGUUGCUAUAUUGUCUUAUUUGCCUCUCUGGCCAAGGUGGUUGAUUAUGAUUUUCAGAAAAGCUAUCCUGAACUUGAAUUGUCUACAGUAUGACCUCACCUGCCUCGACUCAUGGGCAGUAAUAGGUUGAAAUCAAUUUUGUUUUAUACUUGCCGAUCCUGUGAUUGCAUCCUAAAGCUAUGGGUCCAUUUGGCAAUGUCUCAAGAAAGUAGAUAUUAAUUUUGAUAAUCAGAUUUUUUUUCUUUAAAAGAAAACUAAUCUACCGGCCAAUGAUCUCUACCCUCUCUAUGGAUAUAUGUGCCUAUCGCUUCCCUUUAAAUUUUGUUUCCUCAUUUAUACCAAGAGUGAGGAAGAAAAGGAAGCAGCAUUGUCAGUUGCAGGUGCUUCAUCUGAGUCGCUGCCUCCUGCAUGUGGAAAUACAGUCCCGUAUGACAUGUAAGUCCAUAUGAGCAUAUCCAAUCCCAUGUAUAUAACUGUAACAAAAAUGAAAGUAAGGAAAGUAGGGAAAAUAAAAUCCAAGAGCCUAUAAUGCAUCAACUUACGCCUUGUCUUA
rnacentral:misc_RNA from 1 species